rnacentral:rRNA from 1 species
UACGGAGGGGGCGAGCGUUGUCCGAAGUUACUGGGCGUAAAGCGCGCGUAGGCGGGUUGGCAAGCCCGCUGUGAAAGCCUGAGGCUCAACCUCAGCGGGUCGGUGGAUACUGCCAGUCUUGAAGGCGUUAGGGGGAGAUGGAAUUACCGGUGUAGCGGUGAAAUGCGUAGAUAUCGGGAGGAACACCUGUGGCGAAGGCGGCCCCCUGGUUGGAUACUGACGCUGAUACGCGAAGGCGUGGGGAGCAAACAGG